rnacentral:rRNA from 1 species
UGGGGGAUAUUGCACAAUGGGCGAAAGCCUGAUGCAGCGACGCCGCGUGGGGGAUGAAGGCCUUCGGGUUGUAAACUUCUUUUGCUCUGAACAAGGCGCACCAUGGGGUGUGUUGAGUGUAGGGGUUGAUUAGCGCCGGCUAACUACGUGCCAGCAGCCGCGGUAAUACGUAGGGCGCGAGCGUUGUCCGGAAUUAUUGGGCGUAAAGGGCUUGUAGGUGGCUGGUUGCGUCUGUCGUGAAAGCUCAUGGCUUAACUGUGGGUUUGCGGUGGGUACGGGCUGGCUUGAGUGCAGUAGGGGAGGCUGGAAUUCCUGGUGUAGCGGUGGAAUGCGCAGAUAUCAGGAGGAAUACCGGUGGCGAAGGCGGGUCUCUGGGCUGUUACUGACACUGAGGAGCGAAAGCAUGGGGAGCGAAC